rnacentral:rRNA from 1 species
UACGUAGGGUGCAAGCGUUGUCCGGAAUUAUUGGGCGUAAAGAGCUCGUAGGCGGUUUGUCGCGUCUGCUGUGAAAACUCGGGGCUUAACCCCGGGCCUGCAGUGGGUACGGGCAGACUAGAGUGCGGUAGGGGAGACUGGAAUUCCUGGUGUAGCGGUGAAAUGCGCAGAUAUCAGGAGGAACACCGGUGGCGAAGGCGGGUCUC